rnacentral:rRNA from 1 species
UACGUAGGGUCCAAGCGUUAUCCGGAAUCACUGGGCGUAAAGCGUGCGUAGACGGCUAUCUAAGUCGGGUGUGAAAGCCCCGGGCUCAACCUGGGAAUUGCAUUCGAGACUGAAUAGCUAGGGUACGGUAGAGGGAAGCGGAAUUUCCGGUGUAGCGGUGAAAUGCGUAGAUAUCGGAAGGAACAUCAGUGGCGAAAGCGGCUUCCUGGACCAGUACCGACGUUCAGGCACGAAAGCGUGGGGAGCAAACAGG